rnacentral:lncRNA from 1 species
AAGGGACACAUAAGGCCUUACUGCUACAAAUUAUAUGGUUAUCCAAGUGAAGUUCCUCAAGAGUCUGAUCCAUCCAUUACUAAAACAAGGAUGGAAUGGAAGCAAAAAGAUGAUGCAAUCAAUACCAAGGAGUAUACAGCUGAAAGCAGUGGGAAAAGUCUGAUUGCCCAUACGUCUCUCAGAGCCUCAUCAAAAGAAGAUUGGUACUUUGAUAGUGGUUGUUCUAGACACAUGACUGGUG